rnacentral:rRNA from 1 species
AGAGUUUGAUCCUGGCUCAGGAUGAACGCUAGCGGCAGGCUUAACACAUGCAAGUCGAGGGGCAGCGCGGGAUAGCAAUAUCCUGGCGGCGACCGGCGGAAGGGUGCGUAACGCGUGAGCGACAUGCCCGUUGCCCGGGGACAACCGGUGGAAACGCCGACUAAUCCCCGAUGGGAUACGAUGCCUCAUGGCAUUGUAUUGAAAGUUACGGCGGCGACGGAUUGGCUCGCGUCCGAUUAGCUUGUUGGCGGGGUAACGGCCCACCAAGGCUGCGAUCGGUAGGGGUUCUGAGAGGAAGGCCCCCCACAAUGGGACUGAGACACGGCCCAUACUCCUACGGGAGGCAGCAGUGAGGAAUAUUGGUCAAUGGGCGGAAGCCUGAACCAGCCAUGCCGCGUGCGGGAAGGAGGCCCUAUGGGCUGUGAACCGCUUUUGCCUGGGGGCAAUAAGGGCGUCGCGCACGUCCGAUGAGAGUACCAGGCGAAUAAGCAUCGGCUAACUCCGUGCCAGCAGCCGCGGUAAUACGGGGGAUGCGAGCGUUAUCCGGAUUCAUUGGGUUUAAAGGGUGCGUAGGCUGUGCGUCAAGUCGGGGGUGAAAUUCCGGUGCUCAACACCGGGGCUGCCCUUGAUACUGUCGCGCUGGAGUGCGGAUGCCGCCGGAGGAAUGAGUGGUGUAGCGGUGAAAUGCUUAGAUAUCACUCAGAACACCGAUUGCGAAGGCAUCUGGCGAAUCCGUAACUGACGCUGAGGCACGAAAGCGUGGGGAUAGAACAGGAUUAGAUACCCUGGUAUUCCACGCCGUAAACGAUGAUGGCUAACCGCCGGCGACACACUGUCGGUGGCCAAGCGAAAGCGAUAAGCCAUCCACCUGGGGAGUACGUCGGCAACGAUGAAACUCAAAGGAAUUGACGGGGGCCCGCACAAGCGGAGGAACAUGUG